UGAUUAUCAAUAUUUCAGUGCUACAUUGAUAAUAAUAGAUUUAAGCAGAAUGUAAAACUACUUGAUGAAAUUUGGACUUUAUCUCAUCCCUCAUCAUUCGAUUGAUGAAAGGAGGCAAAUUUUUAAGGAAGAUCUUUUUUUUUUUCCAGAACUGUGUUUUAUGAAAACGGAUACACGGUCUAAACAGCAGCUCUGAUUCACUUGAAGGGAAAAGACUGAUGGCCCAAUCGAGUCACAUGACUUAGGAGAAGAUGGGGAAAAGAGAGAUGAUGUCCAAACUAAAACUUCUUGAUGAAUGUUGGACUUUAUCUCAUCUCUCGUCCAUAUGUUGAUGAAGGCGUAAAAUUUUCCAUCUCCAGCAGUGUUGUAACACUUCCUGGUUUGUGAACCCAUACUCGGCCUAAACAGCAACUCUAAUUCACUUUGAGGGAAAACUGAUUUAAGGAACUGAAGCUAUCAAGACUUUCCCUGACUGAAACAUAAACAAAUGGGUUCCAGUGCAU